AGGAACAACAGUGGGGGCGGCAGCUCUGGAUCCCUGGAUUCAGCUCCUGCAGUAACUACAGAGCUCUCCGUUUGCAGGCCCUGGAGGCUCCGGGGCGGG
rfam:Canis lupus familiaris chromosome 17, whole genome shotgun sequence.